AUUGAACGCUGGCGGCAGGCCUAACACAUGCAAGUCGAGCGGAUGAAGGGAGCUUGCUCCUGGAUUCAGCGGCGGACGGGUGAGUAAUGCCUAGGAAUCUGCCUGGUAGUGGGGGAUAACGUCCGGAAACGGGCGCUAAUACCGCAUAAGUCCUGGGGGAGGAAGGGGGGGAUCUUCGGACCUCCCGCCUUCAGAUGAGCCUAGGUCGGAUUAGCUAGUUGGUGGGGUAAAGGCCUACCAAGGCGACGAUCCGUAACUGGUCUGAGAGGAUGAUCAGUCACACUGGAACUGAGACACGGUCCAGACUCCUACGGGAGGCAGCAGUGGGGAAUAUUGGACAAUGGGCGAAAGCCUGAUCCAGCCAUGCCGCGUGUGUGAAGAAGGUCUUCGGAUUGUAAAGCACUUUAAGUUGGGAGGAAGGGCAGUAAGUUAAUACCUUGCUGUUUUGACGUUACCAACAGAAUAAGCACCGGCUAACUUCGUG
rnacentral:rRNA from 1 species